rnacentral:rRNA from 1 species
UUCUUGCUGUACGAGCGGCGGACGGGUGAGUAAUGCCUAGGGAUCUGCCCAGUCGAGGGGGAUAACAGUUGGAAACGACUGCUAAUACCGCAUACGCCCUACGGGGGAAAGGAGGGGACCUUCGGGCCUUUCGCGAUUGGAUGAACCUAGGUGGGAUUAGCUAGUUGGUAAGGUAAUGGCUUACCAAGGCGACGAUCCCUAGCUGUUCUGAGAGGAUGAUCAGCNCANCACUGGACUGAGANCACGCCCAGNNCCNNACGGGAGGCAGCAGUGGGGGAAUNGCAAAUGNGGGGNAAACCUGNAUGCAGCCAUGCCGCGUGUGUGAANAAGGCCCUNAGGGUUGUAAAGCACUUUCAGUAGGGAGGAAAGGUAGCAGCUUAAUACGUUGUUGCUGUGACGUUACCUACAGAAGAAGGACCGGCUAACUUCGUGCCAGCAGCCGCGGUAAUACGAGGGGUCCAAGCGUUAAUCGGAAUUACUGGGCGUAAAGCGUACGCAGGCGGUUCAUUAAGCCAGAUGUGAAAUCCCCGGGCUCAACCUGGGAAUUGCAUUUGGAACUGGUGAACUAGAGUCUUGUAGAGGGGGGUAGAAUUUCAGGUGUAGCGGUNAAAUGCGUAGAGAUCUGAAGGAAUACCGGUGGCGAAGGCGGCCCCCUGGACAAAGACUGACGCUNAUGUACGAAAGCGUGGGGAGCAAACAGGAUUAGAUACCCUGGUAGUCCACGCCGUAAACGAUGUCUACUCGGAGUUUGGUGCCUUGAGCACUGGGCUCCCAAGCUAACGCAUUAAGUAGACCGCCUGGGGAGUACGGCCGCAAGGUUAAAACUCAAAUGAAUUGACGGGGGCCCGCACAAGCGGUGGAGCAUGUGGUUUAAUUCGAUGCAACGCGAAGAACCUUACCUACUCUUGACAUCCAGAGAAUUCGCUAGAGAUAGCUUAGUCCCUUCGGGAACUCUGAGACAGGUGCUGCAUGGCUGUCGUCAGCUCGUGUUGUGAAAUGUNGUUA